rnacentral:rRNA from 1 species
GACAGAGGGGGCAAGCGUUGCUCGGAAUUACUGGGCGUAAAGGGCGCGUAGGCGGGAUGGCAAGUCGGUCGUGAAAUCCUUCGGCUCAACCGAAGAACGUCGAUCGAUACUGCUGUUCUUGAGGGUUGUAGAGGAGACUGGAAUUCCCGGUGUAGCGGUGAAAUGUGUAGAGAUCGGGAGGAACACCGGUGGCGAAGGCGGGUCUCUGGGCAAUUCCUGACGCUGAGGCGCGAAAGCGUGGGGAGCAAACGGG